rnacentral:rRNA from 1 species
UACGUAGGGCGCAAGCGUUGUCCGGAAUUAUUGGGCGUAAAGAGCUCGUAGGUGGCUUGUCACGUCGGGUGUGAAAGCUUGGGGCUUAACUCCAGGUCUGCAUUCGAUACGGGCUGGCUAGAGGUAGGUAGGGGAGAACGGAAUUCCUGGUGUAGCGGUGAAAUGCGCAGAUAUCAGGAGGAACACCGGUGGCGAAGGCGGGUCUCUGGGCAAUUCCUGACGCUGGAGGCGACGAAAGGCGUGGGGAGCAAACACGGG